rnacentral:rRNA from 1 species
AUUGAACGCUGGCGGCAGGCCUAACACAUGCAAGUCGAGCGGAUGAAGGGAGCUUGCUCCUGGCUUCAGCUGCGGACGGGUGAGUAAUGCCUAGGAAUCUGCCUGGUAGUGGGGGAUAACGUCCGUAAACGGGCGCUAAUACCGCAUACGUCCUGAGGUAGAAAGUGGGGGAUCUUCGGACCUCACGCUAUCAGAUGAGCCUAGGUCGGAUUAGCUAGUUGGUGGGGUAAAGGCCUACCAAGGCGACGAUCCGUAACUGGUCUGAGAGGAUGAUCAGUCACACUGGAACUGAGACACGGUCCAGACUCCUACGGGAGGCAGCAGUGGGGAAUAUUGGACAAUGGGCGAAAGCCUGAUCCAGCAAUGCCGCGUGUGUGAAGAAGGUCUUCGGAUUGUAAAGCACUUUAAGUUGGGAGGAAGGGAAGUAAGUUAAUACCUUGAUGUUUUGACGUUACCAACAGAAUAAGCCCCGGCUAACUUCGUG